rnacentral:lncRNA from 1 species
ACAAAUGGUUUCCUAGACCUGAAUGUGGAAGACGUGGAUGAUUCUGCCCCACAUUUACGCCCCCUUAAGAUCUCGAAGGAUGCAACACUGUCUUACAGGCCCUUCGAUGUGCUUCGCAACAGUAACCUCUUCGUCGACCAGACGGCUUUUAUCGAUACUUUCAUGGGCUCAGAGGAUGACCGCGUGGUUUUCUCCGCUCCUCGGGGGUUCGGGAAAUCGACAAUUUUGGACAUGUUUAAACGCUUUUUAGAAAUCGACACGCACGAGAAUGGAACCAAAAAAACCGACAAACGCACCCACAAGAAUUACCGAACAUUCGCGGAUACGAUCCCUAGCACUGGUGCACAUUUACACAUCUUCCAGCAAAAAAAGUUCUUUGAAAGUAAUUUUGGGGAACACCCAGUCAUUUUCCUUGACCUCGACACAAGAGGCAAUCAAACACAUGAUUCACCAUCAUACCUGCGAUUUCUUCUCAAUGGUCCCAUUAAAUCAGCGUUUUUAGACCACGCUUAUUUGAUACAUUCGCCGAUAAUAUCCAAUGAAGAAAAAGAACUAAUGCGACGAUACCUGCAGCAUAACCAGGAUCUUCACGAGAUAGAUCGUAAGGUUACUGACGGUAUUAUACUACUGAAGAGACUUUUACGGAAGCAGUUCCAGAGACAGCCCAUUCUUUGGUGGACAACAUUGACUCUCAGAUUUACGAGUUGCUCUUUGACGCAGAUCCAAAGCAGCGUUCUAAAGAAGCGUUGGAUAAACUGAAAUGUCUCGAAGAUGAUUUAAACGAUUGCACAGCUGAUAACGCUGUCUCGAAAUUCUUCGUUACAGGAGUUCUACGGCCGGAACUAUUCCCGAGCACAUAUUUUCAGAGCAUGACAUUGUCUAACAAGCUCGCGGAAUUCUUCAGUCUAUCGAAGUCCCAAGUGGCAGGACUGAUAGCGGCAUGGGCAUAAAUCAGACAAUGGACCAACUAGACACUUGGUACGGCUUACAAUUAGACGAGGUGCCGGUGCCGCCGAGCCCCGUCAAGCCGAAAAUACGGCAGUUCAAUCCGUACUCCAUCUACAGGUUCCUGCUGAGUGGUUCGACGAGGCUGAGAUCUUACUGGACCGAGUUGGACUCACUGUUGACGCUCCCAGCGGCUUUCUUGCCGGAGUGUUACGGACAACACUUGCUGGAGUGUUUCGAAGAGUGCAACUUCCCAUUUGCCUGGGUCUGGGUUGCUGAAAACGGAUGGACAGACAGAUGGGUGAAGGCACUACAGGAGGUGCGGAGAACUGGCAAGUGCACGAGCGAAACGCGUGCCGCCCUUACUAUGUAUCUCAUGGACAGUGGCUACGUAUUUCCUUCGGCAGCAAAUUCUAUCAUCUACCAAAUACCGAAUCAAGAGGUAAAAAAACACGUCUCGAGGUUGCUCAUGGCUGUGACGACGAGCAAAUGCCCGAUACACGGAAACAAACAAUUCCGGGACGACUUGUUCGAGGCGCUCUUCGACGUGGACGGUUCGCACCUGGACAUGCGCCGGUUUCUGGACAUGUUGGUCGUGGUCCUCGUGGCCGAAGAACGGAAGGGACCGGUUCCGGCGGCGACGCUAGCGCACUCUCUCCGGGUUCAAUUCAUCAACCCCCCACGGCUCCCGAAUAAAUUCAACAUCACAUACGUGGAGACGAGCAUGAUCCAGGAACAGACGAACCAGGAGCCCUGGCGUGAUAGCCAGGAAACCAAUCCGGCUUUCCAUCUGGUUUUCGGGCUUCGGAAGAGAGAGGUCUCGAUGGCGUUCGCUGUCCAUAUUGAGCUUGGGAACGAGUUACAUCCGAAGAAUGGGACACUGACCGAGGCGCAUUUGAAGGUUUUCGAAUCGCGGGAAGAAUUGAAAAAUGCGAGUGUGAAAUUGGCGGCGAGUUUCCGCGGGAACAACCAGUCUUGUUGGCUCAAUUACCUUUGGAACGGGGACAGCCUACAAGACGAAAGGUACUUGAUCGUCGAGAAGAAAACGCUUCAAAUACAAGCUGAGGCUAGAUGGAUCAUUCUUGAGCCGAACUAGAUCAAAUAUAUAAUCAGGUACAGUCUAAGUGCCUUGAAACGGAAUUCCGUCAUUCACCACGGAAUUUCACGAGAAAGUUGCCAAAAACUACGCUGGAAACGUUUGAGCGAAACAACAUGACACGUUGUUCACCGAUGCACGCGAUGAAUGAUGAGUGAUGCGUGAUGUGUGCUCGCGGCCAACCGCCCAACAAUUUGCAUAACGACCUAUUGCACUAAUGAAAUAAUAUUACCGGCAUUUAUCACACAUCACAAACCUCGUGUUUGUUUUCCGUCCACGCCUACAGGCGAGACUGGGCUGUUAUCACGUUGCGCUCUCCGAUCUAAUAACGGCUCUCAAAAGUCCGAAAUACGUGUCUUUGCGCACGGGGAUAAUUUCAACUUCAUCCUUUACAAAUUAGUUAUAAUCGUAUAAUCAGAUCCAUCGAUUUAGCAUGUAAAACAGCUUGCCGUAUGAGGGCCCUCAAUGCAUUUAUUAAUACUUGAGCUCAUUUUUUUUUCACCAAACCAAGUCUCUUCCCCACAGAGAAAAAAACUUCGUGCGUGGGACCCGAAGUUUAGGUCAUUUGGAUCUCUGAAGUUUUCGGAUUGAGCAUCUGAACACUUUAGGUCCAGCUGCUGAGGUUUGGAUCACACACCUGAAACUUCAGUUCUUACAUCUAAAGUACUUCGGUUUUCACAUCCAAAAACUUCGGUUCUCACAUCCGAAAAACUUCGGUUCUAACAUCUGAAGUACUUCAGAUGUAGGAACUCAAGUUUCAGAUGUGUGAUCCGAACCUCCACAGCUAGACCUAAAGUGUUCAGAUGCUCGAUCCGAAAACUGCAGAGAUCCAUAUGACCUGAACUUCGGUUCCCAUGCACGAGUUUUUUUUCUCCGUGUACAUUUAAGUACAAUCAACGGCUUAGUUCUAUUCAAAGGAAAAAAUAUGUUCUUUUCCUCCAUAACUUUACUGUGAUUGGCACGCUAAAUGAUUUUUUUUUUCUGAAUGGAGAGUCAUAACUUUCGCAGCAUAUCAGUUUGCCUGCAAUUUUAGGUGUAGGCAACACGAGUUCCCACGUGAUUGAAUAGUGGUAUCAUCCAUUCCCUGUGCAGUAGUCAUACGGUCUCUGUGGGCAAAUUUAUCGUAGACAAUGACUUUUGUUAAAAUCAUGGCAACUUAUUCACAUGUUUUAAUGGUAUGCUUUUACGUUGUAUGAAGUAGAGUUCGAAUUUGGGUUCAAGCACAUUUUUUUGUUUACCGAUAAAAAUUA